UCAGUGACCACUUUGCUCUGCUUGUUAUCUCAGGAUUGUUGCUAAAUCCCAGGGCCGCUAUUCUACCUUGAAGGAAAAGGGGGCCUCCUGAAGUUCAUUGAGAUGGCUCAAGGACAAUGGUCAUAUGGUGAUUGUGGUGGCCGAGGAUGCCGGUGAAGAUCUCGUCGCACAAAGCAUGAUUUUUGUCGAACUCGCCAUCUCUUCCAUGGGGUUUUUGAUCUGAAUCACUCGUGUCUUUUGAAGUCAGUGAGGCAUCCCCUUAUUUCCUCUCAUGCCACUUCUGGUUCAUAUAUUGCAUAAAAUUCCGAGAUUUCAGUUGAUACAAAUGGAUCAUCUGGAGUUUUGUGUGAAUACUUCCUAUCAUGUGAAUCAGUGGUAGUUCGUUUAAUUGGCAAGACUCAAACUUCUCUCA